rnacentral:lncRNA from 1 species
UAACAACACACAACAUUCCAGGAAUGUACUACCAAAGUUCUAUCAAUAUUUGAAUGUCCUGGACAUUUAGGGAACAUUCGGUGAACAUCUGUUUAAAUUAUUCCUGGAAUGUUACCAUAAGACAUUCUGUGAACAUACUACCAAUGUUCCUAUAUUUUAAGUUGCGAAAUAAUACAUACGUGUAAGAGAUACAACAUUACUUAUAACAUACCAGACAAACUAAGUGACAUUUUAGGCCUACAGUGCAAUAAUAUGUCAAAUUUAAAGAGUUUCCCAAGAUUAUAAACAUACAAAUGUAAUAAAAAUUAUUGUUCGCGAAUAUUCAAUUUGGAAUGCGAUUUUGUUAAUAAAAAAAAUACUUAUAACUGAUGCAAAACCCAAGAGAGGCAUUUAUAUUUAUUUCUUUUGCGUUCAUUUUCAAAUUCGCCGUGCAUAUAUUUUUGUGCAUGGCGCUUGAGAGGGCAUCACGUGACUAAAAACGACCAACCAACGACCUCGCUUCGGCCAUCUUGGCAUCUUCAUCUUGGCGACCUUGCCUUGCCGUGGAUUGUUUUUAGUUGUUUGUAUUAUUUGUGCUUUUUAAGAAUAUUUUUUUAAUUCGGAUACUUUUAUAAUAGCUUUAAUAGUAUUAUUAACAUAGUGCAUAAAAUGGUGUCCUGUUUUUAACGCAGUUGGAGUAGCAGAAACAAAUGUAGAUAAAAAAAUCUGCAGGAAUAACGUUUCAAUUAUGACAGAAGCCAUAGCCACCUUUACUUUACGGUGGCUAUGCAGAAGCUCAAAACAAAUGACUGUGAAUGAAAAGCCCUAUUAAAAGCUUUCCAGAAGAUCCUGCGAAGAAGACAUGAAGUAUAGAUCAGAUUUGUUAAUAGAGGAGUAUGUUCAAAACACUUUUUAGAAAAAGAUAUUGACAGAACUUCACUUUCAUCUGUUCGUUUGAGAGACUGUGCUGUUCCAAUAGCUUAUGUCACACAGAAUCAGCUGAGAGAAGUGGUCUACAAAAAACCAGAAAGGAAACGGAAUAUGUGGCUACGAAAAGCAAAAGAAAGGUUUACAAAGCAAAUGUGACACAUUUUUUUAUAAUAUUUAGGAAUGUCAGCAAAUUACAUUAAAAAAUGUAUAUAAAGAUUUUUUGCAAUAAAAAUGUUUAUAUUUA